GUUUAGGGCCAUGACACCCUGAACAAGCCCGAUGUCUGAUCUUGGAAACUAAGCAGGGUCGGGCCUGGUUAGUACUUGGAUGGGAGACCGCCUAGGAAGACCAGGUGCUAUAGGCA
rnacentral:rRNA from 1 species